GUCUCUGUAGCGCAAUGGAUAGCGCGUUGGACUUCAAAUCCAAAGGUAGUGGGUUCGAAACCUACCUGGAAUG
rnacentral:tRNA from 1 species